UACAGAGGUCCCAAGCGUUGUUCGGAUUUAUUGGGCGUAAAGAGCUCGUAGGCGGCUUGUUGCGUCAGCUGUGAAAACCCGCAGCUCAACUGUGGGCUUGCAGCUGAUACGGGCAGGCCUGAGUUCGGUAGGGGAGACUGGAAUUCCUGGUGUAGCGGUGAAAUGCGCAGAUAUCAGGAGGAACACCGGUGGCGAAGGCGGGUCUCUGGGCCGAUACUGACGCUGAGGAGCGAAAGCGUGGGGAGCGAACAGG
rnacentral:rRNA from 1 species